AUCAAGCGGCAGCAGCUGUUUGGCCUGUUCCAUAAGACAGGAGAACCCAAACAAACCCUGGGCUCGCAGGCAGCUUGGUCACUCCUAAACGCCUGCCACAGGGUCCGAGUGGACAGGAGCACCAUGCAAAGCCCAUGGUGGAGGGACAUGACUGCAGUACAGCACAGAUCUGCCUUAAGCAGCACUCAUUCAACGAAUGUGUGGCACCGUUAGCUUGAAGCUAACACAACACAGGAAGUUGCAAUGAGGUGCUAGCAGAAAAAAAGCAUCCUUGCAGUAAUAAUUUGCUGCACAGAGCACAGCUAGGCCUCCAGUACACAAUUAGAAGGCUGAGACGCCCAUGCCGAUGCUUGCUGACCUGGUUUCCAGCAGAGUGCAUUCCACAGCUCCAGUGCUGAGGCAUGCCUUUCGUUAUCAUGCUGAAUUUCAGCCUCCAUAGUCUCCACAAGGCCAAAGCAGAAGAGAUCUGUUCCAUUGACUUUUGUGGUAACAGCGAUACUGAAGUACAGGCUAAAGCACUAAAUGCCUAAAAAACCCAUUCAAAGCAUUUACUGAGGACAAUGGUCAUUAGAAGGACUGUCUAGCAGCAUCUAACCACCAAACGCAACACCAGAAAAGUUGGCACCCUCUUUGAUCAGCAAGCCAUAACGUAUGUCAAGCCAUGUUAUUGCUGUCGGAAGAAAAACCUUGGAUCUCAAUUUUUGUUGUUUUUCAGGUUUUGACAUAAUUUGAAAUCACCUGU